GACUUUCGGUCUCCGAAUGCAUCNNAGAUUAUAGUUUGAUCCUGGCUCAGAGUGAACGCUGGCGGUAGGCCUAACACAUGCAAGUCGAACGGCAGCACAGGAGAGCUUGCUCUCUGGGUGGCGAGUGGCGGACGGGUGAGGAAUACAUCGGAAUCUACUCUGUCGCGGGGGAUAACGUAGGGAAACUUACGCUAAUACCGCAUACGACCUACGGGUGAAAGCAGGGGAUCUUCGGACCUUGCGCGAUUGAAUGAGCCGAUGUCGGAUUAGCUAGUUGGCGGGGUAAAGGCCCACCAAGGCGACGAUCCGUAGCUNGGUCUGAGAGGAUAGAUACAGCCACACUGGAACUGAGACACGGUCCAGACUCCUACGAG
rnacentral:rRNA from 1 species